rnacentral:rRNA from 1 species
GACGAGCGCUGGCGGCGUGCUUAACACAUGCAAGUCGAACGCUGAAGCUUGGUGCUUGCACUGGGUGGAUGAGUGGCGAACGGGUGAGUAAUACGUGAGUAACCUGCCCUUGACUCUGGGAUAAGCCUGGGAAACUGGGUCUAAUACUGGAUACGACAUGUCACCGCAUGGUGGUGUGUGGAAAGGGUUUUACUGGUUUUGGAUGGGCUCACGGCCUAUCAGCUUGUUGGUGGGGUAAUGGCUCACCAAGGCGACGACGGGUAGCCGGCCUGAGAGGGUGACCGGCCACACUGGGACUGAGACACGGCCCAGACUCCUACGGGAGGCAGCAGUGGGGAAUAUUGCACAAUGGGCGGAAGCCUGAUGCAGCGACGCCGCGUGAGGGAUGACGGCCUUCGGGUUGUAAACCUCUUUCAGCACGGAAGAAGCGAAAGUGACGGUACGUGCAGAAGAAGCGCCGGCUAACUACGUG